GAGGAAUAUUGGUCAAUGGGCGAGAGCCUGAACCAGCCAAGUAGCGUGCAGGAUGACGGCCCUAUGGGUUGUAAACUGCUUUUGUAUGGGGAUAAAGUCAGUCACGUGUGAUUGUUUGCAGGUACCAUACGAAUAAGGACCGGCUAAUUCCGUGCCAGCAGCCGCGGUAAUACGGAAGGUCCGGGCGUUAUCCGGAUUUAUUGGGUUUAAAGGGAGCGUAGGCUGGAGAUUAAGUGUGUUGUGAAAUGUAGACGCUCAACGUCUGACUUGCAGCGCAUACUGGUUUCCUUGAGUACGCACAACGUUAGCGGAAUUCGUCGUGUAGCGGUGAAAUGCUUAGAUAUGACGAAGAACUCCGAUUGCGAAGGCAGCUGACGGGAGCGCAACUGACGCUGAAGCUCGAAGGUGCGGGUAUCGAACAGGAUUAGAUACCCUGGUAGUCCGCACAGUAAACGAUGGAUGCCCGCUGUUGGUACCUGGUAUCAGCGGCUAAGUGAAAGCAUUAAGCAUCCCACCUGGGGAGUACGCCGGCAACGGUG
rnacentral:rRNA from 1 species